rnacentral:rRNA from 1 species
UACGUAGGGUCCGAGCGUUGUCCGGAAUUAUUGGGCGUAAAGAGCUCGUAGGCGGUUUGUCGCGUCUGCUGUGAAAACUCGGGGCUUAACUCCGGGCCUGCAGUGGGUACGGGGCAGACUAGAGUGCGGUAGGGGAGAGCUGGAAUUCCUGGUGUAGCGGUGAAAUGCGCAGAGUAUCAGGAGGAACACCGGUGGCGAAGGCGGGUCUCUGGGCCGUAACUGGACGCUGGAGGAGCGAAAGCAUGGGGAGCGAACAGGA